rnacentral:rRNA from 1 species
UACAGAGGGUGCGAGCGUUGUCCGGAAUCACUGGGCGUAAAGGGCGCGUAGGCGGCCUGGUAAGUAGGGGGUGAAAUCCUGCGGCUCAACCGCAGGGCUGCCUUCUAAACUGCCAGGCUGGAGCACGGUAGAGGCAGAUGGAAUUCCCGGUGUAGCGGUGGAAUGCGUAGAGAUCGGGAAGAACACCAGUGGCGAAGGCGGUCUGCUGGGCCGUUGCUGACGCUGAGGUGCGAAAGCGUGGGGAGCAAACAGG